CCUACGGGAGGCAGCAGUGGGGAAUAUUGCACAAUGGGGGAAACCCUGAUGCAGCGACGCCGCGUGCGUGAAGAAGUAUUUCGGUAUGUAAAGCUCUAUCAGCAGGGAAGAAAAUGACGGUACCUAAUUGAGAAGACACGGCUAACUACGUGCCAGCAGCCGCGGUAAUACGUAGGGGGCAAGCGUUAACCGGAUUUACUGGGGGGAAAGGGAGCGUAGACGGCAGCACAAGUAUGGAGUGAAAUGCCGGGGCUUAACCCCGGAACUGCUUUGGAAACUGGGCAGCUAGAGUGCAGGAGAGGUAAGUGGAAUUCCUAGUGUAGCGGUGAAAUGCUUAGAUAUCACGAAGAACUCCGAUUGCGAAGGCAGCCUACUAAACUGCCACUGACAUUGAUGCUCGAAAGUGUGGGUAGCAAACAGGAUUAGAUACCCUAGUAGUC
rnacentral:rRNA from 1 species